rnacentral:rRNA from 1 species
CCUACGGGAGGCAGCAGUGAGGAAUAUUGGUCAAUGGUCGGGAGACUGAACCAGCCAAGCCGCGUGAGGGAGGAAGGUACAGAGUAUCGUAAACUUCUUUUGUCAGGGAACAAAGACUGGGACGCGUCCCCGGAUGAGUGUACCUGAAGAAAAAGCAUCGGCUAACUCCGUGCCAGCAGCCGCGGUAAUACGGAGGAUGCGAGCGUUAUCCGGAUUUAUUGGGUUUAAAGGGUGCGAGGGGGGUUUGUUAAGUCAGUGGUCAAAGCCUGGGGCUCAACCCCGGACCGCCGUUGAAACUGGCAGUCUCGAGUUGGAGAGAGGUAUGCGGAAUGCGCGGUGUAGCGGUGAAAUGCAUAGAUAUCACGAAGAACUCCGAUUGCGAAGGCAGCAUACCGGCUCCACACUGACGCUGAGGCACGAAAGCGUGGGUAUCGAACAGGAUUAGAUACCCUUGUAGUC